GACGAACCGUGCGAACGUUGUUCGGAAUCACUGGGCUUAAAGGGCGCGUAGGCGGGCCGGCAAGUCAGGGGUGAAAUCCCACGGCUCAACCGUGGAAGUGCCUUUGAUACUGCCGGUCUGGAGGGAGGUAGGGGCGUGCGGAACUUCCGGUGGAGCGGUGAAAUGCGCAGAUAUCAGGAGGAACACCAAUGGCGAAGGCAGCUCGCUGGAACGGUACUGACGCUGAGGCGCGAAAGCGUGGGGAGCGAACAGG
rnacentral:rRNA from 1 species